rnacentral:lncRNA from 1 species
CGCCCGCGCGCCAAUGAGUUCACUUUCUUUCUCUCCCCCGCGCUCCCCCUCUCCCCGCCCGCCGGCCCCUCCAGCCUCCUCCAAGGCGGCGGACCAGGCCGGGCCGGAGUUUUCGGGGUUCAGCCCGCGAGCGGGAGGACCGGGGAGGCGAGGGAGGAGGAAGGCGAGAAGGGCCAGAUCGCGGGAGAGCCCAAUCACGGGGCGAGCUGGACCUGGCUGUGAUCAUUUAUAAUCCUUGACUCCUCCGCUCCGCCACUUGUCAAGAUGACAGGGGUCAUCCGUGAAUAACACUUCACGCUGAUGAAUGGCUCUUGCCGGCUUUCGGCUCUGAUGAGGGGUCUGCCCGCCGCCGAUUGAAAACACUAAUGAACUUACUGCGCCAUUUGAAAUUCACACGCACCAACAAAAUGGGGGGUGGGCAUUUCAGGUCAGCUGAGUCACCCGAGGAGGUGGCAGUGCAAGACACUGCCGGGAAGACGGAUUCCGAGGCAGAAGGGUGUAAUUAAGGAUUUCCACCCCCGGUAGGCGGCCCGUCCUUUGCAGAGCCUCUGAAAAUGACCCGCGCCUUCCUUUCCACAGUGUUCUUUCGUCCGAGACCGAAAAGCGCAAAUGACCUUUGGACAGGGAAGGGAGGCAGUAAACACUCAGACUUCCUUACCAGCCCCUGGUGGGCACUGCAGCAGAACAAUUGUCUGCCCCCCAGGUUCAAGCACCUAGGCCUCCGCCCCGCAUCACCUGGCCAGGGGCGGACCCGGGAGUCCUCCGAAGGCUCCACUCCCCACUUUUACUACUCUUCUUUCCUCUCCAUUCUCCCCUCAGAUUAGCGGCCGGACACUGUCCCUGCCUCGAUUUUGUUUGCUGUGGGAGGGAAAAAAAAAGUUUGCUGCUCCUCCCAAGACACUGGCCACUUUCUACUCACUGAAGUUCCCACCGCAGCGCUGGCUCCCGGCUCCCUAGCUCCCGCCCCCUGUCUGCAGGAAAGCCCUCCCCCGGAGCUUCCGAAACUGCUGGAGGUUCCAGAGUUUUGUAGCUCCGAAUGGGCGACCUGAGCCGAACCGCUCUCUGGCUGGGUGGUCGGCGGGAUCCUUCAGGCUCCUUUCGGGUCCGGGACGGGGCGGCGGCAGAGGUGGGGCGUGCGUGCUUGGGGCUGCCGAGUGAGUGCGGCUCCCUGGUGCGCGCCCGAGCAUCUCCCCGCCCUCUCCUGGGACCAGCAGUCUGCCCGUGGAGGGCUAGGAGCCCGCGACCAGGCCUGCCCCGGCCGUCGCCAACCUGUCCUUGGAAGCGUGGCGGAGACUGGUGCGCUCUCAGCCUCGUCGCGCCAGCCGCCUCGCGCCACCCUCCACUUUCAGCUUCAGAGCAGAGGAUUCCGCCGACCUCCACCUGUACCUGUACUCGGCCGUUAGGAAAUCCACUUGCAUUUUUAACUACCGUGCAGAACCAGAAACAGAUCGAGCACUGGGAGAACAAGGACGACGCCUCCUAGGAAAGCCUGAACCUUUAUGUUAGUUUAUCCAAAGUUUGGGCUAGAAGUGAGGAGAAUCCCUAAACUCGAGGUGGUGUGCCCAGACCCACAGCCCGUGUUCCCGAAGUUGCUAAGUGCCCGAGCGCAGCGCGUUAAGUAGAGAAGUCUUGGUAGUAAGCGAACCCGACCCGGCUCUCGGGGCGCUAGUGACGGAAAGCAGCACGCAUAUCUUUGCGGGAAGAAUCUAGAGUCGCCCUGGGAUAGAUCCAUCUCCUUCUGCCACUGAAUUUCACACUUGAAAAAGAUAAGGUCAUGGGGGCGGAUGAAUGAUAUCCCUCACUCAUUUAGCCAUUCUUAUUAUUAUAUAAAAAAAAGGCUUGUCAAUUAUGAAGGUGUGUCCCAGAUAUUACAUGAAGAUCAUGCAAACUACUUGAAAUUUGAAUCCGGACAUGAUCGUAAGGAAACUCUUUCAUAAAGCACUUUUGUGGCCUAGUUCCCACACACACACAAAAGUAUUAGGUCUUUAAAACUUUUCCAAGUAGUAAGUGAGACUCCCUCUUACUGUCUACGAAUACACAAUAAAGAGAUGAGACACUGCCCCAAUCCUAAAGAGGCCAGAACUGAAGUGCUACAUUGUGUGAGUUAGGGGAUGCUUCUUUUUUCCAGCUCUUUUUUCUAGAAUCCUCAUUACAGCUAACGCUGGUAAUAAAGGUAGGAAAACAAUAGAACUCAUAAAACUUAGAAAUGGUAAUAAAUCUUGGCUCCUGUCUCUAGCCCAGUUCCUUCUUACAUGAGAUUCAAAGUUUUUCAGUAUGCAAUGCUGAACGUUCACACUAUGGUUGCAAAAUAGAAAAAAAUACUCUAGAACUCAUUAAUACGGCCCUGCGCACUCUAUGCCAGGCGUCGCUGGUGGACAAAGCGCGCAGGGGUCCUCCUCUACGUCUGCCUGCGCCUGUAAUCCAGGCAGCUUACGUGUGUUAAAUUUGGGUCUCUCUCUGUCUCUCACACAAAGAAGUUCCAUCAUUUGAGGCCGUUAGGAAAAGCUGAUGUUGUGCAGUGCCAAACUACCACACGCUUCCUCCUUCGGAUGAAUCCCUGGAAAGCAGAGAGGCAGCUCGCUACGUGACCAUCAUGCUUUUUACCUCACUGAGCUGUUGUCAAGAGAGGGCGGGGAUGGCGGGCAGCUCACGUCGUGCCCUCCGCAGCAAUAAAAACUGGAGCGGGAGAAGAAAUGCAAGACAUCGCUGUCUGUUUUGCAAGCCUCUGGCCGCUCUCAGCAAACUCUGCCCGGCGCGGCUGGUGACUUUGCGGUGUGAACGCAGCCGGUCGUGCUCGGGAUAAUGGGACCGAGCUGGCGGCAUCGCCCUCCCGUGGGCCCCUCUUGCCACACAGAUGCGCAGCUCUCCAAAAGGAAAAUGUGGCCCAGCAACCCUCGCCUAGCCCUAGUCCUAGGAAUGCAUGCCUGGGGCCUUUGGAAGCCUCUCAAAGGGCUGGGGGGCGGGGGGGAGGGAUAUAAUGGGCCGAACCUCUGGAUUCAUUUUGGGGAAGAGGAGACAGGUUCUUGCCCCACUACUGAGGCAAGGCCAACAGCACCCUGCCCUGCUGCUCCACCGCCUCCCCGCGGGUCAAGUCUCAGCCGAGUGUCGCUGCCCACCUGAAGGUGACACCUGUCCAUUUUAGUCAGCAUCACAUGCGCCUUCCCUUUCUCCCCUUUGGGGUCUGUCCGUUUUCUCCUCCUGUCCUAAAGAGCCAGCUUGGAACUGAAGGGGCCGGGUAGCAGCUGUUUGUGCCUCUUGCCCGUGCAGACUCGAGGGUCUCCGCAGCCACUUCCUCCUUUAACACGCGAGGCUUUCAGGCGUGCAGAAGGGGACCGCCGGGUCAGGCAGGUAUUAGGCUCUCCAAGGACACUUGUGGACAUCACUGGAGUUUACCUAUUGUUUGGACUUUAUUACAUCUGCUUUAGCAAACGGAGGCAUGAGCGGCCUGUCUGCUGGGUUCAAACCCAGUUGCUGCCCCGGCUGCAACCUCUCCCACUCAAGAGACCCUAGGAACGAUGAGGAACGGGGUAGAAAUGACCAGGGGAGCCAAAUCUCAGGUACCGAGACCUUCCAGCUCACCCCUCAGGCUCAGGAAAGCCAAUAACCCACAUAUGCCCAAAAGGAGCUUAUGUCUCAACUGAGAACAGCAAAUAGGUGAUGGGCCACUUUAGAACAGAGGCUAAAGGCUGGUAGCCACUGAGCAAAACCCAAAUUCUAGGCACCUGAGGUGUUUCCCUUACACAAGUGCCUUCACAGGUAGCAAGCAAUUAAUCUGCAACAGUGAACAACACUAAAACUUAAAUUUUACAUGGAAGUCUCUCAAGUAGACAAAGUUAUUAUUGGGUGGGGUUUUCCCCCCACUGGCAAAAAAAUAACUUAUCCCUUGGCUGUUAGAUUGAGGGAACUAUAAAACAAAUAUUUUAAUUCGAUCACUGACAAAGUCAUAAAAUUCAAUGACUGUUUGUAGAGGAAAACAUGCUUUCAUUAUCUUAAUUAAAGCAAGAUAAGCCUCUCUCAAUGUGCAUGCAUUUUGGAGCCACUGAAUGGACUGGUGAUGAGACGAAGCAACCUUUAAUUGGGACCAUGCUUCUCCAGUACAUUCGUUUGUAUUCCAUGGUGUAAACCGGGCCUUACGCGUGGCUCCGACCUUCGGUGGAAAUGCAUUUGCGUAGCACCACCCAGGGGCUCCCUUGCUUUGGCUAGAGCCUCAUAAAAGACCCCAGGUUUUGCGAAGGAUUUUGAACACCAGCGUCUUUUAACAUGUGGAACUUUCGGUUUUGGUUUAGCUCUGUGAACGUAUUUAAAACUUGCUACAUUAUUCCACAGUGAAAGUUGGAACCUUUUUAAGAGUUAUCAUAGAGUGCCUUUUAACAUCUGUCAUAUUUUCUAUAAACAACUUUUCAGUGAGAAGCGUAUAUAGUGUACUCGAGGUAGGCAUUAGCUGCUGGCAAGGUUUAUGAUACAAUAGUGACACUACAGGACAAUUUUUUAGUCAAACAACACCCGUUAGAUAUUUCAGGGUCCAGCUUAUAUGUUAACUUGUAAAUAUAGGUUAAAAAUAUAGGUAUCAAGUGACUAAAUUCAGUAUCAGACAAAUUGAACAUCUUUUUAUUUCCCAGAAGUGCCCUACUCUUUCUCCUCCCUUUGGUGACCUCUUAGUCUGGAAUGCUCUGCAUCCGGGGCCCCUGGAACACAUAGUUUUUAAAGUACCUAUUAGUGAUACUCUCCUCCCGUUGGCAGUGCUUCCACUGUGUUUUCUGCAUGUAAUAAAGGAUGGCACUGUUUUUUGCAUAGGUCUUUCCUAAUAGCUGAGCACUCUUGGAGUGUAGGGGCUCAACCUUAUGCCUCUUUGGACACACAAGCCUAGCCCAUGGGCUGGCAUAUAGGAGCUGCUCAAUAAAUGUUUGUUGAACGAAUGAGUGGAUACACGAAUAAAAUAUUUUCAUUGUCUUUAGCCCCUCUGACUUUCUUUUUUAAACAGGGGUAUGUCAUAAAUAAAAUUUACCUUGAAAAUGCAUUUAAGUACACUGUUCUACUUCUCUGACCAUGAAGUUUUUAAUGGGACAUCGUUUUAAAAUUCUGGUCAUUACAACGAACCACUUUUGACCUUGGUUGACUUUUCUCAGAAUCAUAAUGCGAAGUAAAGACAAAAACAAUGAGAAAAGGCAAAGAGAUCAAAUUUUGGUUUUCUCUUUUUCAGUAGGAUAUGAUGUUUAUCGAAAUUUGGAAACAAAUUGUAGCAAGCACCUAUAACAUGUAGAUACUCAUGUUUUUAUAUUAAAUAUGACAUUAUUUAUAAAA